GACGAACGCUGGCGGCGUGCUUAACACAUGCAAGUCGAACGGAAAGGCCCUGCUUUUGUGGGGUGCUCGAGUGGCGAACGGGUGAGUAACACGUGAGUAACCUGCCCUUGACUUUGGGAUAACUUCAGGAAACUGGGGCUAAUACCGGAUAGGAGCUCCUGCUGCAUGGUGGGGGUUGGAAAGUUUCGGCGGUUGGGGAUGGACUCGCGGCUUAUCAGCUUGUUGGUGGGGUAGUGGCUUACCAAGGCUUUGACGGGUAGCCGGCCUGAGAGGGUGACCGGCCACAUUGGGACUGAGAUACGGCCCAGACUCCUACGGGAGGCAGCAGUGGGGAAUAUUGCACAAUGGGCGGAAGCCUGAUGCAGCAACGCCGCGUGCGGGAUGACGGCCUUCGGGUUGUAAACCGCUUUCGCCUGUGACGAAGCGUGAGUGACGGUAAUGGGUAAAGAAGCACCGGCUAACUACGUGCCAGCAGCCGCGGUGAUACGUAGGGUGCGAGCGUUGUCCGGAUUUAUUGGGCGUAAAGGGCUCGUAGGUGGUUGAUCGCGUCGGAAGUGUAAUCUUGGGGCUUAACCCUGAGCGUGCUUUCGAUACGGGUUGACUUGAGGAAGGUAGGGGAGAAUGGAAUUCCUGGUGGAGCGGUGGAAUGCGCAGAUAUCAGGAGGAACACCAGUGGCGAAGGCGGUUCUCUGGGCCUUUCCUGACGCUGAGGAGCGAAAGCGUGGGGAGCGAACAGGCUUAGAUACCCUGGUAGUCCACGCUGUAAACGGUGGGUACUAGGUGUGGGGUCCAUUCCACGGGUUCCGUGCCGUAGCUAACGCUUUAAGUACCCCGCCUGGGGAGUACGGCCGCAAGGCUAAAACUCAAAGGAAUUGACGGGGCCCCGCACAAGCGGCGGAGCAUGCGGAUUAAUUCGAUGCAACGCGUAGAACCUUACCUGGGUUUGACAUGGAUCGGGAGCGCUCAGAGAUGGGUGUGCCUCUUUUGGGGUCGGUUCACAGGUGGUGCAUGGCUGUCGUCAGCUCGUGUCGUGAGAUGUUGGGUUAAGUCCCGCAACGAGCGCAACCCUUGUUCACUGUUGCCAGCACGUUAUGGUGGGGACUCAGUGGAGACCGCCGGGGUCAACUCGGAGGAAGGUGGGGAUGACGUCAAGUCAUCAUGCCCCUUAUGUCCAGGGCUUCACGCAUGCUACAAUGGCUGGUACAGAGAGUGGCGAGCCUGUGAGGGCGAGCGAAUCUCGGAAAGCCGGUCUCAGUUCGGAUUGGGGUCUGCAACUCGACCUCAUGAAGUCGGAGUCGCUAAUAAUCGCAGAUCAGCAACGCUGCGGUGAAUACGUUCCCGGGGCU
rnacentral:rRNA from 1 species